rnacentral:rRNA from 1 species
AUUGAACGCUGGCGGCAGGCCUAACACAUGCAAGUCGAGCGAGCGGCGGACGGGUGAGUAAUGUAUGGGGACUGCCCGAUAGAGGGGGUUAACUACUGGAAACGGUGGCUAAUACCGCAUACUAUCGGAUAACCCAUAUGGGAUUAUCUAGUAGGUGGGGUAAAGGCACACCUAGGCGACGAUCUCUAGCUGGGCUGAGAGGAUGAUCAGCCACACUGGGACUGAGACACGGCCCAGACUCCUACGGAGGCAGCGGUGGGGAAUAUUGCACAAUGGGCGCAAGGCUGAUGCAGCCAUGCCGCGAGUAUGAAGAAGGCCUUAGGGUUGUAAAGUACUUACAGCGGGGAGGCGUUAGCCGCAGAAGAAGCACCGGCUAACUCCGUGCCAGCAGCCGCGGUAAUUC